AUGGGUUGAUUAAUUAAGAGUGGUUAGUAUUUUGAUAAAAAAAAUCUUAUUCAAGAAUUAAGAUAUUGAUUUUCUUCUAUUUAUAAGAGAUAGGUUUAAUUUUGAUCUAGUCAUGAGGUAUUGAACAUUAUUUUAUAGGGAAUGAGAGCAUGAUUUUGAAAUCUUAAAAAUUGAAAAUUUUUGAGAAGUUGAUUUUGACAAUAAGAAAAUGAAU
rnacentral:lncRNA from 1 species